UACGUAGGGGGCAAGCGUUGUCCGGAAUCAUUGGGCGUAAAGAGCGCGUAGGCGGUCCGGUCAGUCCGAUGUGAAAGUCAGGGGCUCAACCCCUGAAGGCCGGCGGAUACUGCCGGGCUAGAGUCCGGAAGAGGCGAGUGGAAUUCCUGGUGUAGCGGUGCAAUGCGCAGAUAUCAGGAGGAACACCGAUGGCGAAGGCAGCUCGCUGGGACGGUACUGACGCUGAGGCGCGAAAGCGUGGGGAGCAAACAGG
rnacentral:misc_RNA from 1 species